UCGGGAUCUGGGCCCUGGACCAGGCCCUGGGGAUCCUGACUCUGCCCCGCAGUGGUCUUCAUGUCGUGCACCUGGAGGACGUCGGGGGCGCUGCCGCUUAGGCCGCUUAAGGCCUGCUGGGCAAUGUCGUGCGAUGACAGGUUGAGCAUCAGUGAUUGCACCAUGAAUAAUGCAGAGAGGAAAGUACAAAGAUAGUGCCUGCCUCUGAUGGGCUUACUCCUCCCACCAACCAACAGGUAGGAUUGGUAGCUGAACUGUCCACUUUUUUAAAAGUUUCCUUUGAGGUCUGGGUUGAAACCUGGCCCCUCACCUGUAGCUGGGCUGCUGCUGUGAGCAUCUUCUGCCGAGUUUGCAGCACUGUGGAUGAAGACAUGGAGAAACUUCCCAGUGGCAAGUGCACUGAAGACAGUGAGCUCGGGGCAGCCAGCAUUGCGCAGGAUGAAACUGAAGACGAGUGCUGGAGGUUCGAGAAGAGAGCUGUGGGCUACAGGACUUGGAAAGGGAUUUGGGUGGUGAACCUGAAGAGUUAUUAUUAUAUGGUGGAAUGGGAGUGGAGCGUACUCUGGGAAGGAAAACAGAUACUAUUGGGAAAAUAGGUACUACGCCAAAAGGACAAUUUGAAAGAAUUGAGAAUAUGAUAAUGGGAGAAGAUAUUUUGUGUUGUAUGUAUAUUUAAGAAUUAAAAAAGAACAAAGGAAAGAAAAGAUGACUAUCAAAAGAAGGAAAUCCUGCUAUUUACAACAACAUGGAUGAACCUCUGGAGGAUAUUAUUCAAGAAAGCACUGGAGAUAUGGAGGUGAGAAGAGUGGGAAUGUAAAGUGAAGAGACCAAGAAUGAGAAGAGAGGAGGAAAGAAGAGUGUUGGACCAGUUCAGAAACUAGAAUGAGGGAAGCGGCGACGACCGAGUGAAAGACUGGGCACAGAACUUGGUCACCAAGGCAGAAAGCAGAAAAGACAAGAAGAUGGUUGACAUUUUUAUAAUUUGCAGACUUAUGAUGUGACCAUUCAUUCAGCUCUACUUUUAUGACUUUCAGCAACCUUUUCAUGCAAAAAUUGCAAAGGUAAGGAUGAUCUUAGCUACAGAAAGUUAUUUGCUGAAUGAUACCCCAAGUUGUUCUAGCCAGACUGUAGGUGACCUGGAAAUUGUCAGCUCUAUUCCAUGUUGUCCCCACAUGUGAGUAUACUCCUCAUUGUCUCCCCUGUCUCUUUUGGUCCUAGUCUGCCCACUGGGAUUAAGUUCAAUUGGUCAUAGUGUUAACUCACUUAAUAACACACCUUUUUGGCUGCCUUCCCUCCUGUGGUUCACCUCCUCACUCGCUUCCUCAUAUUUCCCAGAAUCAACUCCUAAUUAACGAUAUGUACUUUCACCCUGCCCUCAGGGACUGCUUCUGGGGAAAUCAUGACUAGUGUCAAAUAGAUUUCCAAAUAAAAUGUAAUAAAAUAUAAUUCUCAGCACCUAAAAGCAAAAAGCCCCACCAGUGGUGGUAACCUCCAGGUAGAGUCAUUCUUGGGAAGAGCAUGGGCUCUGGGGUCUGAGAGAUACUUGAAGUCUAGCUCUUCUAACUAUACCAUCUGGCCUCCAUCAAUCUCUGCCUUCCACCUACAUCAAAAUGGAAAUUGAAGUUGCACAAUAUUGUUAUGAUUAUUAGAUGAUGUAUUAAAUCUUGUAUUCAUUCAACAAAUAUUUAUUUCUCCAGGCAUAACAUACGUAAGGAACAUAGUUAAGUAAUUAGCAUAGACUGGUGUAUAGUAAAUGGAAACUAUGAUCAUUGCUGUACGCUGACAAAUGAGAGGCAGAACAAAAUUUGGAGAGCUUGUGACAACAGUGAUGUUUGGUAGUAUAAGGUCACUCAUCUGCUAGGGAGGAGUCCAUUACCUCUCCCUCUGCCUACGGACAUUAGGCACCAGGCUUCUCAUACUCUGUAUCAUGGGGUGAGGCUUUGAAGAUCAACAGACCCAGGUUCAAGUACCCAGUGAUUAGUUGUAUGACCUUGUUAACUUCUGAGUCUGUGUGUGGUAUGGUGAUCAUGAUACCUACCAAAAGGAUGUGGUGAGGAGUCAAUGAAAUAAUGGACAUAAGGACCAGGCUCCCAGCAAUGUUACUUAUUUUAAUCUCCCUUCUUGUAGAUCUCAUGGUUGCUGACUACUGAAUACAUUGGAUCAUAUUCUUCCGAAAUGAUAGUGUGUCACAUUCAAAGGUAUUUAGACAAGUUCGAUUGGAAGGCAUUGCUCUGUCCAAUUCUCCAAAAUUAACAGUAGUUAAAACAAUAUUGCUUUCUAAACAUUUAAUAUAG